rnacentral:lncRNA from 1 species
UCCAGCCCAUUUGGGUAAAAAUCUUUUCCUUUUUCUUUUCUGUAAAAUUUGUAAAAUCCACAAAUAAAUCUAACGAACUCCAAAUCUUGUAAUUCACAUUUCUAGUGACUCCAUAAAUCAUGAUCUACCUUUUGGUGCAACAUGCACAUUUUUCCAGAACAACUUUCCUCACACAAAAUAAAUAAAGUCCCAUUUUCCAUUUCUGUGAUGAACUUUAGAAAAUCACAGAGAGAUAAUCUUUGAUCCAAAUGCCAUGAUUCAAGUUUCUAGAUGCUUCUGAGUUCAUAACUUAGGUUAUGAACAUUUUUUAUUAAUACUUUCUGUGCCACACAAUAUAAUGAGCCAUAUCUUCAUAUUUUUCAACUUUGCAAAUUCAUAGGGAAUUCAUUUGAACUCCAAAUCCAGUGAAACGAACUCCUAGAUGCUUCUAAAAUCAUGAUUUGUUAAAUGGGUGCCUUUGCUCAUUUUUCAAAAAUAUAUUUCUGUACACUUCUUGCAAAUCCAUAAAUCCAAUGAUUCUAUCAUAUUGAAAUACUCAAAAAUAUGCACUGAUCUAGUCCCAAUGUAACCACUCUGGUUAUUUUUCAUAGGACCAGAGAUGUCCUUGAAAAGUCAAAUUCAUAUUUUUAGAGCACUUUUACUUUUGCCUUGUUGUGUUGUUUAUUGUGUUUGUUUCCCACGUUAGUUGACGAAGUUGACGGAGUACUUGGAAGGACCAGAAGAUUUCAAGACUCUGAUGAACCAGGCAAGCAGCGCUUUGACCAUGAUGAACCCUUUUACAUCACAAAAGCUUUUCCAUUGUUUCAUCGAGUGCAUGGUAUAUCUUGAAUGGCAACUUGCUAGGCUUGCCUCCUUUGCAUACCCUGUUGAUACUUGCAUUGUUCAUGACUCUAUCCUUGUUUAGAGUUGUGUUGAUGGGUUGUAGAAAUAUGCUAUAGUAAAUGGCUACGCAAAGUGGGUCAGGGUUAUGCAUGGAAAGAAACAAGUGUGGUUUGACAUACUUGCAAACAGCCCCAGUGGGUGCCACUAAUGCCCCUGGGAGAUGAUGAUGAAUUAGGUCACUACUUGGUGCAGAGGUAGUGUACCGAGGCUUGAUGAAAGUGUUGUUUACAGAGACGGAUUAGAUUUAAGAUUGUAUACCGUCCCAACCAAACAUGUACAACCAUACUACCCCCUUAUGGGAUGGGGCAUUAUUGAUUACCUUGUUCGUGCUAGCAUGGAUGCCCGCAUUACUACUGACGGGAGUGACGUGGUCACUCUCGGGACGGGGUCGUGCUUGGAUAGGUGGCCAUGACUGUUUUCACAAGGCACCGAACACACCGUUGGUACCCCCGUGCAUGUGAGAUGUGAUGAGUAUGGGAGCGUGGCUCCACCAAAUUAAAUUGUGAAAAUGUUUGGCACGGGGGCUGUUACCAAUCGAGUAGACUCUAUGUUGGUCACGACUAGGGAAAGGUAGUGAUCGGGUGCUUACCCCGGGUACUUAAGGUACCGCGGGUCGUGGAUGACACGAAAGCUUCCCGGAUCUUGUGGGUAAAGUGUGCAACCUCUGCGGAGUGUCAAACUAUUCGAAUAGCCGUGUCCACAGUCAAGGACAGUUGGGUGCUGCUGCUUAGACUAUGUCCAUAUGUAUCUGACAAACAACACGGGUUGAGUAUAUUGUUGAUGUGAUUCGUGAGGAAGUCACGAUGAGCUUGAGCAUGAGUUGUUCACAACUCUUUUUCGACGUUAAUGUCUGUAACCUCCUGAUACUUGUUGCAGACGCAUUCAUGUCCUUGAUAAAUGUUGAUCAUACUUGCAUGAGCAAAACUAGCUUUCCGCAAAAAUGCCAAUUUAGCAGUUGAGCCUUGCAUAAUUAUUCUGUUAUCACUCUUGGGUUGCUUGAGAGUACAUUCAAAGUACUCAUUGGCUUGCCACUAGUUAUUUUAUUGGCCAGGCUUGAAAGAACAGGAUACGAUGAAGAAUACUUCAACGACGAACAUGCGAGCUAGGACGCUUCCCAGUCAUAAUGCCUGUAGGGUUAAGGCAGAUGGCAUGGGUCCAAGUUAUCGACGAAGAUUUCCGCUACGAAGUUAUACUCAAGACUUGACCAUGAUGGUCAGAAUUUAUGUAAGACGAUAUGUAUGGAUGUAAGACUCUUGUUAUUCAGCUUCUGUGUGUUCAGUGAGCAUUGAUCUCUGGGAUCACUAUACACGUGCAUUCGGUGAUCAGGACUUAUGAGUCGGGGUCCCCACAGAGCUGGUAUUAGAGCCAUCCUGACGGUAGGAAGCCUUAGUUAGCAUGGUCGUUAGUUAGGGUAGGACUAUUUCCAAAACUACUACUAGUUUUCAAAACUAUCUAUACUUCUCUUCCCUUCUCAGUUUUUCGAAAACUAAGAUAUACUUUCCUUAUUGAUCUCUUCCCCUUCAAAACCUUUGGUCGCUAGAACCCUUAUGCCCCAGACCACUGGAUUCCUUGUAAUCCUCGUGGAUAAUCUAGAAGGAGGAUGCCUUGUCAGAUAUUCACCCACAUCUUCUAAACACAAGAUUGGCGACACCACAACAAGACGAUACCAACAGAAGAUACAUCCUCGAGGAAUGAGGACAUGAAGACCCAGAAGAUGGUGUCACCCUUGACACUGCCCCAAGAUGAUGCGACCUUAGCCUAUGAUGAUCAGGGCAUAGGAAAUGCAAGAUCAUGAUAUACAUCGCUAAUAGAGCAACCAUGUCCUUAUCGUUGUUGCAUCGGCAACCACUGGUGGAUGAGAACCUAGCCAUUUGGUCCGCCCCACUAUAGUGAGCAGGAAAACGGUUCUCUUCAUCCCCCGCUCUCGGUGACGAUAUAGUCAAUAAUGUGUCCGACAGAUUGGAUCUCUAUUAUGCCUUGUUAAUGUCAUUGCAUAAAGGAUUGCCACCUGGAACUGCCGACACCUUAAAAAGGCAAAAGUGAUCGUCAUGAUUAAGAAGACAAGAGAAGACCAAGUCAAUGCCAGCCACGAGGAGCCACCUUCACCCCAUCACCUCAUCAGGUGAGAAGUUGUUGAAGAUUCUUCAGGCUCAACCCAGAUCGAUUCAUCGAACAAGAGACGUAGCAACACCUGAGGAAAACUCAGAAGACUGCACGAGGCACAAGGCACGACUACCGAGUCCAAGAACCCCUAGGGUAGGAUGAGUCGUGUACCCCCUAUGUCCAGUCGAGUCCGUAUGAUGGUUCGAAUAGAACCAUGAUUGUGUGUUCCUUAUUUUUAUUGUUUGUGUUCUGAUAUAAGUCAUACUUUUGCCCUAGGCAACAAGUACGCAACUAUAUCACCUUCCUUGUUUUCUUUUGUUUGGCCCUUUUUGCACCUGUUUGUUUGCACUGGCACUAUAGAACCCCCCUUUUUGGCAUCCCCCUCCUGUAUGCUACUUUUCCCUCUCAUCUCUCUCCUCAACUGAAGGCCGGCAAGACAAGAUACACCAAGGGUUGUACUUUGGAACCAACUAGCGCUGAGGACUUUUGCUACAACCUCCUCGACCAAGUGCAACCCCGUAGAGUUAUGUUUACCCCUCAAGACUGGAAACCCAUCCCUAUACCCUUCGAGACUUCACAAGACACCCCAGCUCGAAUCCUUAACCAUGUGCUUAACCCACAGAAUUGCAAGAGAACCAGUUAAGCCUCCGUAACCUUGCUUAUCACUGGGUUCAUUAUGCAAUUGAUGAACAUAGUGAACGAGCACAUUGUCAUCCUAAUAUAGGACAAGAACUGACCAUGCCAUAGGGAAGAUCAAUUUGAGGAUAUAGGAAUAGGGGAUGAAUGACUUGAUAAGUUUACAUCAGUGACCUUGAGGGAAUUAUCUAAGACUUUGGUGGAUCAUGAGGCUUUCAUAUUGAAGAACUUGAUGGGAUCAUGUUGAUAGAGGAGCAUAACUUUCAUUACCGCUGGAGUAAAUUGGAUUUUGUAGGACAAUUAUGAUCGCACGAUGAAAUACUUGGAGGUAUAAGGAUUUGACUUAGCCAGGGGAUAUUAAUAGGAGGUAGUUGGCCAUACGAUGAUGACUUGGGGGGAACAUGUAGGAAUUUUCGUGGAACAUGAGGUUUGGAUUUAGAUAGGUGAUCCUAGUGGAGUAUAGAUGUGGAUUGAGUCUACGUGGUUCGGAGUGAAUUGGAUUUAGACCGAUAAUCUCGAUCAUGAUACCAUGUUUCUCGGUGGACGAUAGACUAGGAGAUUGGGUUAAUUGUCAGGGUUGAUUUAGGGGUCUAUAAAAGCCUGACCUUGGAGUUUACUUGACCAUGAUAAUGGAAAUUGGUGGACUUACUAUAGAAAAGAUAGACCUUUCAAGUAUUUGGGGAUUAUAGGACAUUAGAAGAUCAUGUGGAACACCAUGAACAUUGGAUUGGUAGAAUUAAUGGAUUGUGUAGUGAUUGAUGGAAGUUAAUGGGUUGUUGGAGUUGAUUCAUAGGAAGGAAACAAGAUCUUGGAGUGGCAUACGACGAGUUUCCUUAGGAUAGAGAUGCACUAUCUUGGACCUUGGAAGAAUAGGCUGAACACUUGGAUUGUGGUGUUUAAUUCAAGCUUAGCAGCUUGUACGUUCUACCCAUGGACUUUUGCAUAGAUAUGAGUUUGGGGAUAGUUCACAUGUACGAUUUUGUUAGACCUCCUCUCGAGAGUCCUGGGGAUAUGAAUAGCAUGAGUAAUGCUGGGAGUUGACACAUACGAGAUGAUGCUUUUGGUGGUACACGGUGAUUUGUUUGAAGACUAGGUAGAAUGAUUGGCAUCUCAGAAACUGUGCUUAAGAUAAGAUAAUAAACAUUCACCCACACACCAGAAUCCUUGAAACCCUUAAGCCCUACCAAGCCACAACGUGGUCGGAUCAUGACCAUGGGCUUUGGCUCUAGGUCAAGAAGACUUUGGCCAAUACUCAACCGUGACCACCACUAAUGCCUCAGCCCACUUUACGUACCCCAUAGACUUCAUGGAGUACUUGGACAAGUUAGUUGUCAUCUUUCUUUGAUGACAGACUUGUCUACCUGAAGACGGAAGAAGAGUCAUUCAGCUGGUCAGGGAACAUCUGAAGACCGCCAUGUCGAGGAGGAAGGACUAUACCAACCACCGUCGCCAAGAAUUAAACUUCCGCAUCGAAGACCAUGUGUAUCUAUGAGCCACUCCUCUCAAGAGAACCAAGCAUUUUCAUGUCAAGAGAAGCUCACACCAAGAUUAUCGACCCCCCUCCAAGAUCACUGCAAGACGUAGAGUAGAUGGCUACCAGCUGGAGUUACCACCUGAGUUACCCACUCUGCACAAUGUUUUCCACGCGACACAACUCCGGAAGUGUUUUCAACUUCCUAACUAGCCCGAUCUCUACAAGGACAUGGAUCACUGAGCCAUCGACCUCCAGCCCGACCUAACCUAUCCGAGAGACCAUUAGCAACCUGGACCAAGCAGGACGUUGUACAUGAAGGCACAUCAUCAAUUACUUCAAGGAUCAAUGAAGCACCACAUGGAAGCAGAAACAGUAUGAGGACAUGAAGACUACCCCAGAUUUAAGUUUCGUAUUCCUUUCCGCGCCUAGUUUGGGAAUCUCGGGGACGAGAUUCUUGUAAGGGGGGUAGGUCUGUCACACCCUGAUUUUCAUGCCACAACACUUAAGCUAAUAAAUCAUGGUAAAAUGUGGUUUGACAAAAAAAACUUUUGAGUGUUUUGGACUUUUCUUGAUUUGAUUUUUGUGUGUUGGUUGCAAGUGCUCUAAAAAUCAAAAAAAUCCUCCAACUCUUAUACCCCUUCUCCUUGAUCCAAAACCUUGCCCAAUGAUCAUUCCAUGUGUAUAGGACAUAAAAAUAAUUUCUUGCAAAAAUAAUUUGGCCAAAAAGUAUUUUCUAAAUUAGGUUUUCCAAAAACUCCUAACUUAAGGCUUGCACUACAAGUACUUAAUUUAGGGCAUGAAAAAUAUUUCCAAAAUCAUAUUUGACACCUAUUAGAUAUAGGACUCCCAUAAACCACAAAAGUAUAAUUUUAAAAGUUAUUUUCCUAUUUUAUUUAAAGGCUUUUUAUUUAGGCCAGAAAUGGUCUUUAAUAGUUUAAAAUUAUUUUACUGUUUCAAAAAUAUUUGGGAAAAUUUAGGGAAACUCAUAGGAAAUAUAUUGUCCAUAUAUAAGAGUUUCAACACAUGGUCAUGUUCAAAUUAUUGGUCAAAUCCCUCAAAAACCCUUUCUGGAUAUUUCAAGCUUUUGAAAUAUUUACACAGGAAAUGUUCUCCAUUAAAUCCAUCAAAAUUCUACCUUGUCAAAAAUGGACAACUUGAUGAUAUUGCCAAGUCUCAUGUCAUGGAGAACAGUAUAACCCCAUGAAACCCUCUCAAAACCACUUAUGUCCUUUUUCCAAGUUUGAACAACUUUGUACUACCAAACAUGUCCAAAUGAUCUCAAAAUUUGUACACAUGCUCAGAUGGCCUAAUCAAUCACCUAGGCCAAGUGGCACAAGUUUUAGAGUAGGAUAACUUGAUCAAAGUGCCUCAAAACCGUUUCUGUCCAGAAACAAAUUUGAACAACUCUACAUUGUCAACUGUCUCCUUUUGACCCCAAUUUUUGUGAGCAUGUUGUAAUCCCCAAAUGGUGACACUACACCAAGUGGUGCACCAAGGAGAACAAGGUAGCAUGAUAAAAUCUAGCCAAAACUAUUUCUGCCCUUUUCUAGGGUUUACAAAAGUUGCAUUGGCCACUUUCUCCAUUUGACCUCAAAAUUGGUGGUCACUACUAAUUUGUAAUGUCACUCACUCCUGUUAAGUAUCAAAGCAAGUUGAGAAAAUUAGCUAGCCCAAACCACCAUCAAACACCUUCUGGCAGAAUUUCAUAAUGCAAGUUUCAGCCCCUUCCUCUAAUCUCCAUGAGCAGAAACUCUUCCCACAGCCUCAUCUGGUCCUCCUCUAACUCCUACAUGCUUUGCUGCCCAAGGAGCAAUGAUUAAGGGGGGCAGAGACCCAUUUUCUUCCCUGGAUAACAGUUUUCCCUCUCUCUCUCAACCCACCUCUCCUCUAGUAGCUCCCCAGGGCAUCCAAUGCCAUUUCCACUUUGUUUACUACCCCCUAAAGCUCCCAGACAAAAGUGGCCGCGCCCACUCCGCAAAAAGACAUGCCCAUGUCGGCCAAAGUCGCGCUCUGGGGCACCAGAGCACUGUGGCACGACCCUCCCGAGGUCUCCGGCAGACCUUGGGCAGAGGGAUGAUGUCCCCCGAGGUCGCCUCGACGUCCUCAGUGCGUCAGCGUGCUGGCCCCCUCCUCCCCCUCUCCCUCUCACCUCCUGCGGCGCGUGCCCGACGCCGCCCGGCUAGGCCAAUGCGUGGCCUCGCACGCGCGAGCGCCAGAGCCCUGCCCUUCCUCUCCUCUCUCUCCCCCACGACCUAGACGACUCCCGCGUACGCCUCAGACACGCUCACCCCCCUCAAACGGUCGCCAGCGCCGUUGCAGCGGAGGCCGAUCGCCCUGUCCAUGGUGCACCUCGCCCCUCCUAUUGAAGCCACCCCCGGGUCCCUCUCUGCGCCUCCCUCCCUCCCUCUCUCUCUCUCCCGUACGCUCCCCAGGCCAACCCGUUCCUCCUCUAGUGACCUCCAACCACCUCCAUGGCCGGAGCUUUGCCGUCGGCCUCCGCCUAAAUUCGCGCCCACCACUCCUCCUCCUCCCCUCUAGACCGCACCAGAGCACUUCCACCAUCACGGCGGGCCCCUCCCGCGCUUCUCCCUCUCCUCCCCGUGGCCGUGCCGUGGAGUUCCAUCACCACCGCCGGCCUUGCACGCCGCGGCCGAUGAUGCGCUCGCCUUUGGCCACCCCUGCGAUCGUGGCGCACGUAGGCGGGUGCGGCUCGCUCCCUGAGAACGCUGGUGUGCUGGGCGCCGACGGAGGUGGUCGGUGCCACCGGGGAGAGCGCCGGCGCUGCUCGGCCUCGCCUCCUCUGUUUCCCGUCGCGCCGCGCGGGAGGUUGAAGGCGACCUGCCGCCGGGCCCCGCGCGUCAUCGACCAAGUGGGCUGGCCCGACCGUUUAAGUGGAAACGGCUUUGGGUAGAUCCGCCUCCCCCGCGCAAAGGCGCACCGCCGUGAAGCCGCCUUCAACGGCAGCUCUUCCGCCCGCACAGAACAGCCGCCGGGGCCGGCCCAAUUGCUAUUCCGCGCUCAGUGCGCACAGCUGCCGCCCCAGAUCCAGCCCAUUUGGGUAAAAAUCUUUUACUUUUUCUUUUCUGUAAUAUUUGUAUAAUCCACAAAUAAAUCUAAUAAAUUCCCAAUCUUGUAAUUCAAAUUUCUAGUGACUCCAUAAAUCAUGAUCUACCUUUUGGUGCAACAUGCACAUUUUUCCAGAACAACUUUCCUUACACAAAUUAAAUAAAAUCCCAUUUUCCAUUUCUGUGAUGAACUUUAGAAAAUUACAGAGAGAUAAUCUUUGAUCCAAAUGCCAUGAUUCAAAUUUCUAGAUGCUUCUGAGUUCAUAACUUAGGUUAUCAACAUUUUUAUUAAUACUUUCUGUGCCACACAAUAUAAUGAGCCAUUUCUUCAUAUUUGUCAACUUUGCAAAUUCAUAGGGAAUUCAUUUGAACUCCAAAUCCAGUGAAACGAACUCCUAGAUGCUUCUAAAAUCAUGAUUUGUUAAAUGGGUGCCUUUUCUCAUUUUUCAAAAAUAUAUUUCUGUACACUUCUUGCAAAUCCAUAAAUCCAAUGAUUCUAUCAUAUUGAAAUACUCAGAAAUAUGCACUGAUCUAGUCCCAAUGUAACCACUCUGGUUAUUUUUCAUAUGACCAGAGAUGUCCUAGAAAAGUCAAAUUCAUAUUUUUAGAGCACUUUUAUGUUUGCCUUGCUGUGUUGCUUAUUGUGUUUGUUUCCGACGUUAGUUGACGAAGUAGACGGAGUACUUGGAAGGACCAGAAGAUUUCAAGACUCUGAUGAACCAGGCAAGCAGCCCUUUGACCACGAUGAACCCUUUUACAUCACAAAAGCUUUUCCAUUGUUUCAUCGAGUGCAUGGUAUAUCUUGAAUGGCAACUUGCUAGGCUUGCCUCCUUUGCAUACCCUGUUGAUACUUGCAUUGUUCAUGACUAUAUCCGUGUUUAGAGUUGUGUUGAUGGGUUGUAGAAAUAUGCUAUAGUAAAUGGCUACGCAAAGUGGGUCAGGGUUAUGCAUGGAAAGAAACAAGUGUGGUUUGACAUACUUGCAAACAGCCCCAGUGGGUGCCACUAAUGCCCCUGGGAGAUGAUGAUGAAUUAGGUCACUACUUGGUGGAGAGGUAGUGUACCAAGGCUUGAUGAAAGUGUUGUUUACAGAGACGGAUUAGAUUUAAGAUUGUCUAUCGUCCCAACCAAACAUGUACAACCACACUACCCCCUUAUGGGAUGGGGCAUUAUUGAUUACCUAGUUCGUGCUAGCAUGGAUGCCCGCAUUACUAGUGACGUGGUCACUCUCGGGACGGGAUCGUGGUUGGAUAGGCGGCCAUGACUGUUUUCACAGGGCACCGGACACACCGAUGGUACCCCAGUGCAUGCGAGAUGUGAUGAGUAUGGGAGCGUGGCUCCACCAAAUUAAAUUGUGAAAAUGUUUGGCACGGGGGCUGUUACCAAUCGAGUGGACUCUAUGUUGGUCACGACUAGGGAAAGGUAGUCAUCGGGUGAUUACCCCGGGUACUUAAGGUACCGCGGGUCGUGGAUGACACGAAAGUUUCCCGGAUCUUGUGGGUAAAGUGUGCAACCUCUGCAGAGUGUCAAACUAUUCGAAUAGCCGUGUCCAUAGUCAAGGACAGUUGGGUGGUGCUGCUUAGACUAUGUCCAUAUGUUUCUGAUAAACAACACGGGUCGAGUAUAUUGUUGAUGUGAUUCGUGAGGAAGUCAUGAUGAGCUUGAGCAUGAGUUGUUCACAACUCUUUUUCGACGUUAAUGUCUGUAACCUCCUGAUACUUGUUGCAGGCGCAUUCUUGUCCUUGAUAAAUGUUGAUCAUACUUGCAUGAGCAAAACUAGCUUUCCGCAAAAAUGCAAAUUUAGCAGUUGAGCCUUGCAUAAUUAUUCUUUUAUCACUCUUGGGUUGCUUGCGAGUACAUUCAAAGUACUCAUUGGCUUGCCACUGGUUAUUUUAUUGGCCAGGCUUGAAAGAAUAGGAUACGAUGAAGAAUACUUUGGCGACGAACAUGCGAGCUAGGACGCUUCCCAGUCAGAAUGCCUGUAGGGUUAAGGCAGAUGGCAUGGGUCCAAGUUAUCGACGAAGAUUUCCGCUACGAAGUUAUACUCAAGACUUGACCAUAAUGGUCAUAAUUUAUGUAAGACAGUAUGUAUGGAUGUAAGACUCUUGUUAUUCAGCUUCUGUGUGUUCAGUGAGCAUUGAUCUCUGGGAUCAUUGUACACGUGCAUUCGGUGAUCACGACUUAUGAGUCGGGGUCCCCACAGUUCAGAUUUUGGUUGCAUGUGCGAUGCAGGGCACACGGAUGAUCCAUAUGACUAUUUGCGAUGAGACAGAACAACAGAAAUGGAAG